AUUGAACGCUGGCGGCAGGCCUAACACAUGCAAGUCGAACGAGUGGCGGACGGGUGAGUAAUGUCUGGGAAACUGCCUGAUGGAGGGGGAUAACUACUGGAAACGGUAGCUAAUACCGCAUACCAUCGGAUGUGCCCAGAUGGGAUUAGCUAGUAGGUGGGGUAACGGCUCACCUAGGCGACGAUCACUAGCUGGUCUGAGAGGAUGACCGGCCACCCUGAAACGGGGACACGGUCCAGGCUCCUACGGGAGGCAGCGGUGGGAAAUAUUGCACAAUGGACGCAAGCCUGAUGCAGCCAUGCCGCGUGUGUGAGGAAGGCCUUCGGGUUGUAAAGCACUUUCAGCGGGGAGACGUUACCCGCAAAAGAGCACCGGCUAACUCCGUGCCAGCAGCCGCGGUAAUAC
rnacentral:rRNA from 1 species